UCGGAAAUUGCAAUGAAUCGGUCUGAUUUAGAACAUCUAAACACAACACGAUAUAUUCCAUCAGACAGGUAUGAUUCCGUCCAUUUCACGAAACCAGAAUUUUUCUAUGUAAUUUAAUGGUGGAUAAGAUGACGACUAAUAGAACCCAUUCUUGUGACAUUGCCCCAAGGAAAGCAGCAGCUCCAGUUUUAUGACUUCUAAUGAUUCUAUUUUGCAAUUUAAUUUCCUUGUUGGAGUCUAUAGAAGAAGAAUUUUGUGAAUAAAAAAAAUUGUAAAAAUAGAAUGAAAAAAUUAAUAAAAAACGAAAAGCAA